rnacentral:tRNA from 1 species
GCCACGGUGGUCUAGCGGUUAGAACGCUGGCCUUGUAAGCCUGGGGUCCCGGGUUCGAUUCCCGGUGGUGCCC